GAGCCAGUGGCCUAAUGGAUAAGGCAUCAGUAUCUGGAGCUGGGGGUUGUGGGUUCAAGUCCCAUCUGGGUCG
rnacentral:tRNA from 1 species